UACGGGGGGGGCAAGCGUUGUUCGGAAUUACUGGGCGUAAAGGGCUCGUAGGCGGCCAACUAAGUCAGACGUGAAAUCCCUCGGCUUAACCGGGGAACUGCGUCUGAUACUGGAUGGCUUGAGAUCGGGAGAGGGAUGCGGAAUUCCAGGUGUAGCGGUGAAAUGCGUAGAUAUCUGGAGGAACACCCGUGGCGAAGGCGGCUUUCUGGCUCGCAACUGACGCUGAGGCGCGAAAGCGUGGGGAGCAAACAGG
rnacentral:rRNA from 1 species